AACGCGAAGAACCUUACCUGGACUAGAAUGCGAGGGAAUGUUGGGUAACGCCAACAGCCGGUUUACCGGCCGGAAGCAAGGUGCUGCAUGGCUGUCGUCAGCUCGUGUCGUGAGAUGUUGGGUUAAGUCCCGCAACGAGCGCAACCCUUAUCAUCAGUUGCCAUCAUUAAGUUGGGAACUCUCUUGAGACUGCCGUUGAUAAAACGGAGGAAGGUGGGGAUGAUGUCAAGUCAUCAUGGCCUUUAUGUUCAGGGCUACACACGUGCUACAAUGGACGGUACAAAACGUUGCUAUCCCGCGAGGGGGAGCUAAUCUCGAAAACCGUUCUCAUUUCGGAUUGAAGUCUGCAACUCCACUUCUUGAAGUUGGAAUCACUAGUAAUCACAAAUCAACCUGCUGCGGUGAAUACAUUCCCGGGUCUUGUACACACCG
rnacentral:rRNA from 1 species